GAUAACCUCCGUGAAAAUGGGGAUAAUUCCGGAUAACGCAUAUUUGCUGGAAUGCUUUAUGCGUCAAAAGGAUUCGUCUGCCCAAGGAUGGGUCUGCGGCCUAUCAGGUAGUAGUGGGUGUAAUGUACCUACUAGCCAGCGACGGGUACGGGUUGUGAGAGCAAGAGCCCGGAGAUGGAUUCUGAGACAUGAAUCAAGGCCCUACGGGGCGCAGCAGGCGCGAAAACUUUACAAUGCGGGAAACCGUGAUAAGGGGACACCGAGUGCCAGCAUCAUAUGCUGGCUGUCCGGAUGUGUAAAAUACAUCCGUUAGCAAGGGCCGGGCAAGACCGGUGCCAGCCGCCGCGGUAACACCGGCGGCCCGAGUGGUGAUCGUGAUUAUUGGGUCUAAAGGGUCCGUAGCCGGUUUGGUCAGUCCUCCGGGAAAUCUGAUAGCUCAACUAUUAGGCUUUCGGGGGAUACUGCCAGACUUGGAACCGGGGAGGUAAGAGGUACUACAGGGGUAGGAGUGAAAUCUUGUAAUCCCUGUGGGACCACCUGUGGCGAAGGCGUCUUACCAGAACGGGUUCGACGGUGAGGGACGAAAGCUGGGGGCACGAACCGGAUUAGAUACCCGGGUAGUCCCAGCCGUAAACGAUGCUCGCUAGGUGUCAGGCAUGGCGCGACCGUGUCUGGUGCCGCACGAAGCCGUGAAGCGAGCCACCUGGGAAGUACGGCCGCAAGGCUGAAACUUAAAGGAAUUGGCGGGGGAGCACAACAACGGGUGGAGCCUGCGGUUUAAUUGGACUCAACGCCGGACAACUCACCGGGGGCGACAGCAAUAUGUAGGCCAAGCUGAAGACUUUGCCUGAAUCGCUGAGAGGAGGUGCAU
rnacentral:rRNA from 1 species